GAUGAACGCUGGCGGCGUGCCUAAUACAUGCAAGUCGAGCGAACAGACGAGGAGCUUGCUCCUUUGACGUUAGCGGCGGACGGGUGAGUAACACGUGGGUAACCUACCUAUAAGACUGGGAUAACUUCGGGAAACCGGAGCUAAUACCGGAUAAUAUUUCGAACCGCAUGGUUCGAUAGUGAAAGAUGGCUCUGCUGUCACUUAUAGAUGGACCUGCGCCGUAUUAGCUAGUUGGUAAGGUAACAGCUUACCAAGGCAACGAUACGUAGCCGACCUGAGAGGGUGAUCGGCCACACUGGAACUGAGACACGGUCCAGACUCCUACGGGAGGCAGCAGUAGGGAAUCUUCCGCAAUGGGCGAAAGCCUGACGGAGCAACGCCGCGUGAGUGAUGAAGGUCUUCGGAUCGUAAAACUCUGCUAUUAGGGAAGAACAAACGUGUAAGUAACUGUGCACGUCUUGACGGUACCUAAUCAGAAAGCCACGGCUAACUACGUGCCAGCAGCCGCGGUAAUACGUAGGUGGCAAGCGUUAUCCGGAAUUAUUGGGCGUAAAGCGCGCGUAGGCGGUUUUUUAAGUCUGAUGUGAAAGCCCACGGCUCAACCGUGGAGGGUCAUUGGAAACUGGAAAACUUGAGUGCAGAAGAGGAAAGUGGAAUUCCAUGUGUAGCGGUGAAAUGCGCAGAGAUAUGGAGGAACACCAGUGGCGAAGGCGACUUUCUGGUCUGUAACUGACGCUGAUGUGCGAAAGCGUGGGGAUCAAACAGGAUUAGAUACCCUGGUAGUCCACGCCGUAAACGAUGAGUGCUAAGUGUUAGGGGGUUUCCGCCCCUUAGUGCUGCAGCUAACGCAUUAAGCACUCCGCCUGGGGAGUACGACCGCAAGGUUGAAACUCAAAGGAAUUGACGGGGACCCGCACAAGCGGUGGAGCAUGUGGUUUAAUUCGAAGCAACGCGAAGAACCUUACCAAAUCUUGACAUCCUUUGCUCCUUCUAGAGAUAGAAGUUUCCCCUUCGGGGGACAAAGUGACAGGUGGUGCAUGGUUGUCGUCAGCUCGUGUCGUGGGAUGUUGGGUUGAGUCCCGCAACGAGCGCAACCCUUAAGCUUAGUUGCCAUCAUUAAGUUGGGCACUCUAAGUUGACUGCCGGUGACAAACCGGAGGAAGGUGGGGAUGACGUCAAAUCAUCAUGCCCCUUAUGAUUUGGGCUACACACGUGCUACAAUGGACAAUACAAAGGGCAGCGAAACCGCGAGGUCAAGCAAAUCCCAUAAAGUUGUUCUCAGUUCGGAUUGUAGUCUGCAACUCGACUACAUGAAGCUGGAAUCGCUAGUAAUCGUAGAUCAGCAUGCUACGGUGAAUACGUUCCCGGGUCU
rnacentral:rRNA from 1 species